rnacentral:rRNA from 1 species
UACGUAGGGUGCGAGCGUUGUCCGGAAUUAUUGGGCGUAAAGAGCUUGUAGGCGGUUUGUCGCGUCUGCUGUGAAAAUCCGGGGCUCAACCCCGGACUUGCAGUGGGUACGGGCAGACUAGAGUGUGGUAGGGGAGACUGGAAUUCCUGGUGUAGCGGUGAAAUGCGCAGAUAUCAGGAGGAACACCGAUGGCGAAGGCAGGUCUCUGGGCCACUACUGACGCUGAGAAGCGAAAGCGUGGGGAUCAAACAGGAUUAGAUACCUCCGUA